GGGCUGUGAAGUUGUAUUACAAGUGAUGGUUGGGUCCAUCACAACUCAUCUCUGGAUGACAGCAAGUAUAUCUGAGCUC